GAUGAACGCUGGCGGCGUGCCUAAUACAUGCAAGUCGAACGCUGAAGAGAGGAGCUUGCUCUUCUUGGAUGAGUUGCGAACGGGUGAGUAACGCGUAGGUAACCUGCCUUGUAGCGGGGGAUAACUACUGGAAACGAUAGCUAAUACCGCAUAAUAAUGGAUGCCACAUGGCACAUAUUUGAAAGGGGGAAUUGCUCCACUACAAGAUGGACCUGCGUUGUAUUAGCUAGUAGGUGAGGUAAUGGCUCACCUAGGCGACGAUACAUAGCCGACCUGAGAGGGUGUGCGGCCACACUGGGACUGAGACACGGCCCCGACUCCUACGGGAGGCAGCAGUAGGGAAUCUUCGGCAAUAGGGGCAACCCUGACCGAGCAACGCCGCGUGAGUGAAGAAGGUUUUCGGGUCGUAAAGCUCUGUUGUAAGUCAAGAAAGGGUGUGAGAGUGGAAAGUUCACACUGUGACGGUAGCUUACCAGAAAGGGACGGCUAACUACGUG
rnacentral:rRNA from 1 species